rnacentral:misc_RNA from 1 species
GAUGAAGAACGUAGCGAAAUGCGAUAAGUAAUGUGAAUUGCAGAAUUCAGUGAAUCAUCGAAUCUUUGAACGCAUCUUGCGCUCCUUGGUAUUCUGAGGAGCAUGCCUGUUUGAGUGUCAUUAAAUUCUCGACUACACUGACUUUGAAUUGGUGUGGCUUGGAUUUGGGGGGGAAAAUUGUUGUGGGCUUUUUGUAUAGUCUGCUCCCCUGAAAUUGAUUAGCGGUACCUUUGUGGAACUGUCUACAGGUGUGAUAAUUAUCUACAUCCUAGACAUCUGCUGGAAUGCUGCUUUCUAAACCUUACUUGUAUUGACAAUCUUGACCUCAAAUCAGGUAGGACUACCCGCUGAACUUAAGCAUAUCAAUAAGCGGAGGA